rnacentral:rRNA from 1 species
UAGGUAAUCUUCGGCAAUGGACGAAAGUCUGACCGAGCAACGCCGCGUGAGUGAAGAAGGUUUUCGGCUCGUAAAACUCUGUUGUUAGAGAAGAACAAGGACUCUAGUAACUGAACGUCCCCUGACGGUAUCUAACCAGAAAGCCACGGCUAACUACGUUUCAGCAUCCGCGGUAAUACGUAGGUGGCAAGCGUUGUACGGAUUUAUUGGGCGUAAAGCGAGCGCAGGCGGUUUCUUAAGUCUGAUGUGAAAGCCCCCGGCUCACCCGGGGAGGGUCAUUGGAAACUGGGAGACUUGAGUGCAGAAGAGGAGAGUGGAAAUCCAUGUGUAGCGGUGAAAUGCGUAGAUAUAUUGAGGAAAACAAGUGGCGAAGACGGCUCUCUGCUCUGUAACUAAAGCUGAGGCUCGAAAGCGUGGGGAGCAAACAGG